rnacentral:rRNA from 1 species
ACCCUUAUUGUCAGUUGCAUCAUCCUGUUGGCACUCUGCGAACCCGCCUCGGAUACGGGGAAGAAGGUGGGAAUACGCAAGUCCUCAUGGCCUUACGUCCAGGGUUCACACGUGUUACAAUGGCGGGUACAACCCGUCGCAAACCCGCGAGGGGAGCUAAUCGGAAAAAGCCGACCUCAGUUCGGAUUGGAGUCUGCAACUCGACUCCAUGAAGCUGGAAUCGCUAGUAAUUGCGGAUCAGAACGCCGCGGUGAAUACGUUCCCGGGCCUUGUACACACCGCCCGUCACAUCACGAAAGUGGGCUGUACUAGAAGCCGGUGGGCUAACCGCAAGGAAGCAGCCGUCCAAGGUAUAACUCAUGAUUGGGGUGAAGUCGUAACAA